GGGAAUCCCCGGACAGUUCGUGAAAUAGCGACGAUUUCUCAGUCGCAUUCCCCCAUGUUUGUGUUCUUAUGUGAGACUAGGCAGAAAGCAGCUAAGAUGAGAAGGAUCCGUGCACGUCUCGGUUUCCAAGGAUUUGUGGGAGUGGAUAGCAAUGGUUUGAGUGGUGGUCUGCUUUUUUGGCACGAGUCAUGUGUGGUCGAUAUUUUAGAUAAGGAUGAUCGAUAUAUUGAUGCUAUGGUGAGAUUGCAUGUUGAUGCAGAGCAAUGGAGAGUAACACUUGUUUAUGGGGAACCACGAGCUGAAAAUAGGCACUUGAUGUGGUCAAAGUUGCAUAGUUUAAAAAAUGUGAGUGAUCGACCGUGGCUCGUAAUUGGUGAUUUUAAUGAAGCUCUCUGGGAUUUUGAACAUCUCUCAUCUAACCCACGACCGGAACCACAAAUGAUCGCGUUCAGAGAUACACUUGAAGUGUGUGAGCUUAUUGAUUUGGGAUUCUCAGGAAUCCCUUUCACCUAUGAUAACAUGCGAGCUGGAGCAAACAACGUGAAGGUGCGUUUGGACAGGGCAACAGCGACCAAUGAAUGGCGUAAUUUUUUCCCUCUUUGUUCUGUACAGCAUGUUGUUUCGCCUUGUUCCGACCAUGUUGCAUUGGUAUUGAAAGGUGCGCCAGAUUCGGGUCAGCCGGGACAGAAGUGUAGGCGUUAUGAGGUUUUCUGGGGAAGGGAUUCGGCGCUACCGAAUGUGAUCAAAGAGGCAUGGGACUCCGUUGGUGACGUUGACAAUUUGGAAAAGCUUCAAUCUGCUCUAAGCAAGACGCUAGCCACCCUUAGCACGUGGAGUAAUAAAAAAUUCGGCAACAUCUCAAGGGAACUAGCUAAGUCACGAUCACAACUGGAAGAGCUCAUGAAAUAA
rnacentral:rRNA from 1 species